rnacentral:lncRNA from 1 species
CGCCGUUACGGGUUGUUUAGGUUUUGUUAUGCAAGAGCCUGAGUGAGGGCUGCUUUGUCUAAACGACUGCAUUUGCUAUUUUCAGGUGACCGCCCCAGACGAUUUGUAAUGAUAUGUGACGCAUGUUGAACGGCAUCAGAGCUGUCCUGAUCGGGGCGCAGUGAAGUACGGUUUGCUGAACAGUGAUUGCCACUUGGACCGAUACUGAAGCCGAAAUAUUAUUGCCGGCUAUACUGACGGUGCAGUUGGCUGUAUCACCAUACUGAGUCACUGACAUUUGUACUAAAGUCGCCUAUCGUCCCGGACGAAUUUUCUACGGUCAUCACGGUCCACACUGAUCGCUGCAAGGUGUCACUACUGAAUGAUCCCAAUACAUACUGACCGACUAA